GCCGCCAAACCUUGCCGGAAGCCUAGGGUUUGCACCAGGAAGGUCAGGGGCGCCAAGAUCAGCACCCCGACCCCGACCCCGACCCCAACCCCGAGCCCCAAGCAGCAGCAACAGCCAGAGCAACCACCCCAUGCCGUCGUCGAUCCUCUCUACAGGGCGGUGCUCAUGAUCCCCACCGCCACCGCCGCCGCCACCACCACCACCAGCAAGCAGGAUCCCUUGGAGGACUUCCUCGCGCUCGCCCGCCAGCGCGGCCUCAUCUAGCCACCCACCCAUACCCAUUGCCGCCAGUGCAGGGAUGCAUUCUGCGUUUGGACAUGCAAUGUCGUUGGAAAAUGAUACAUUCUGUCACUCCGUGAUGCUAUCAAAUGGACAAAGUCUCGUUGCGCCUUUUCCGUGAUUGAUAGGUGGAUAACCAUAAGAAUUUUGACGAUGGUGAUUAGUUAGCGAGUUUCAGUCAUGCUGUCAGUGUUUCUUAUGCUUCGCCGUUUUGCUGUUCAGUGCCAUGACCAAGCACCAGGAUUCAGUCAUGCCUACGAAGAUAUAUGUAGUUGGAUAGGUUACAGCAAUUCGACACUUUGUGUGUCUCUUAACCAUUUUGCAACUCCACUGCUUCUGAUGUGCGCUGGUUCUCUACUCGCAAUUCUGCAGUCCUGCACACCUAAAAAUAUUAGCUUGUUUCAGCUGUCAGUGUAUGGCCACUGCUAUUUUUAUGCAAAUAAUUUGGCCACACAUUUGCGGUGUUUAUCUUGCUGCACAAUGCACUGAAUUGCUAAUAUAACAUACUUCCCAUUGAGCAUCAACCAUGGCCUGAUUAAAAUUGAUGUACAAUUGUACAUAUUUCACAUAUAUUCACAAUCUUUUUGUCCACCGUGUAAAGCUGUUCAUGGUUAAAAGGGGAAAUGGAUGCAUUAUUUAUGGUGUUCAACUUGGCCUUUGGUUCUGCCAAUAUCAAGAGCACCGCAUUCACGGUCAAAAGAGGGGAGGGGGGAAUACAGUACCAGCGAGUGACACCCUUUUGAUUGUUGAAUGGCUCGUCGCCUUUAGUUUCUUCGCCUAUUUACUGAAUUCGUUUGAUAGAUCUUCAGGACCGUCAGUGCUAGGUUGAUCGAUGGUGAAAUUUAUAACACUGAAACAAAUGAACCUUUGCAUACUUAACCUGUCAUCAUCACAAUGUCUGUUUUCUCUUUGGUUGUCGCGCCUUGCGCCUUUCUGCCGUACCUGUAGCUCUUUUUGACACACCAUGGUUGGAUUGUAUGGCAAAAGUAGACAUCGUUCAACCAAAUCUCCGCAACAGGGAGCGAAUGUUCUGUUCUGUUCUGGUUUUUACCUUGCUGUAUGAAAUAAUCAAUCUGGGCAUUGUUCUUGAGGCGUCGUCGUCUCUGCCUGAGUAUCUGGCACUCACCUAAGCAUGUACUAACCUGUUUUGUUUAUUUUUGUUUUUUGUUUCUGGAGACUUUUGGGUUGACCUCCAUGCGGCUUCUGUUGAUGCUUCAUGGGAGAUAAAUCUGAGCAUGUGCUUUCUCCAGGGAUUGUUUUGCUGGGCACAGUCAGCCACCAUGUAUAGCCACUGCUUCUUCUGUUCAAAUACUCUGGUCACGCCACGCACACCAUCAUCUGGGGUGUUUGUCUUGCUGCACGAUGCACUAAAUUGCGAAACACACUUCCAAUCUUGCAUGAACCAGGCCCUGAUUCAAACUGAUGUGCAUACCACUUUACAUGUAUUCACAAUCUUCUUGUCCACUGUCUUAAUCUGCUCAUGCUUAAAAAAGGAGAACUACAUUAUUUGUGGUGUUUAACUUUGCCUUUGCAGUCAUAAAGGAAAGGUGAAAAGCUCAAGAGAACUAACCACCUACUUCGCUCUUUUGAUUGCUGAAUGGCUGUUGCCUUUAGUUUUUUUCGUCUAUUCCACCGAAUUUGUUUGAUAGGAUCUUGCGAACCAUCAGUGCUUGGUUGACCGAUGGUGAAAUUUAUAAAACACUGAAGCAAAUGAACCUGGCAUACUUAAUCGGUCAACAUCACAAUGUUUUUUUUUUAAAUGGUUGUUGUGCGUUCUGUUUUUUGUUUCUGGAGCUGUUGUUGUGCGUUAUGCUUAAUCUAUCUUAUGAAGCUGUUUUUUUACAAAAAAUCGGUAAGCAUGCGUUCUGCUCAUGGGAAGCUACUUAAUCGGUAAGCUGUUUUUGUUUUGUUUCUGGAGGCCGUUCGGUUAUCCUCCAUGUGGCUUCUGCUCAUGCUCCAUGUAUCUUUACUUGCUUAUUAUGGUCGGCAUGUGCUUUUUCCUGGGAUUGUUUCGUUGGGCACAGCCAGCCACCAUUGUUUCCUGGAAUUCAGCUGAGAUGUCGCUUCCGGCCUCCGUGGGAAUUGUGACCGGGCUGCCCACAACUUUGGGGGAGCUGUGAUCCUAUACUACUAUUAUCUUGAAGUACAAGUAUCACGGAUAACCAGUUUAUUUAUUUAUUGAUCUGGAAGGUCGUGUGAUAAUAAUAUUUGAGACCUUAUCUCGAGUCUUGCUGCUCUCAUGUAGGUUUUUCUUUGCAAAUGGGUGAGCAUCACGCUCCCGUUGUCCGUCGUCGUUGAAGCUCUACUCUCAAGCUUCUCUUUUUCUUAUAUUUUGAUAACGAGUUACCCAGGUAAAUCACGAAGCGUUUGUUUACUGAUGCUGCUGCUCUCUUAAAUGAACCAGCUUUUGGAUUUUCAGCUUACUGAUACCAGAUAUUAAGCAAAUCAAGUGCAAGUACUAAUCUGAUUUUGUUUGUGGAGACUCUUCAGUUGUCCAGCUGAUUUCUGAAUUCGAGAAUUGGAUUGGGAAUUGCCCGGAAGUUUGGGGACGCUGUGAUAAGAUAACCAAUUUAUUUUAUCUGGAAGAACGUGUAAUAACAUUGGACUGGAUUCUCGGGCCUUGUUGUUUUCUUAGACUUUGGUCUUUGUGAUGGUGUGGUGAGCGACGACUCUCCAGAAUUUUCUGAUAUUUUUAGUCCUCAAGCAGUCUUUUGUUUUUCAACUUACUGACGAAGGUGAGUGGAUAUGAGUACAUAAAUUACAAGCACAAGUAAAAUUUACUCAAGAACCUCUACAUAUAUGUAACCUAAGAGCCCGUAAAAUCUUGCAGCCCGUAAAAUUCCGACGAGUAUAUGGGUUUGGACAGAUCAGAUUAGACCCCGUGUACUUGGGCUAGCCCAUAAAGUUUUUAUAGUGGUCCGGAAACAUACCCCCCCGGUAGUAUAUAUCCGGGCCCGCAGCCGCAAUACGGGUCGAAACCCUAUGCCCCCGCCGACACGAUUCCCCAUUUCCCCCUUCAACUUCUCGUUGUCGGUGCCCAAAAUUUGUUACC